rnacentral:rRNA from 1 species
GUGACAGCCGCCGCGGUAAUACGGAGGGUGCAAGCGUUAUUCGGAAUUACUGGGCGUAAAGCGCGUGCAGGCGGGUAUGCAAGUCUGAUGUGAAAGCCCCGGGCUCAACCUGGGAAGUGCAUUGGAAACUGCAUAUCUUGAGUGCUGGAGAGGAAGGGGGAAUUCCCGGUGUAGAGGUGAAAUUCGUAGAGAUCGGGAGGAAUACCAGUGGCGAAGGCGCCCUUCUGGACGGCAACUGACGCUGAGACGCGAAAGCGUGGGGAGCAAACAGGAUUAGAAACCCCUGUAGUCC